GAUGAACGCUGGCGGCGGGCCUAACACAUGCAAGUCGAGCGGACAGACGAGGAGCUUUCCUGUCUGACGUUAGCGGCGGGCGGGGGAGUGACACGUGGGUAACCUACCUAUAAGACUGGGAUAACUUCGGGAAACCGGAGCCAAUACCGGAUAAAAUAUUGAACCGCAUGGUUCAAUAGUGAAAGACGUUUUUGCUGUGACUUAGAGAUGGAUCCGCGCCGCAUUAGCUAGUUGGUAAGGUAACGGCUUACCAAGGCAACGAUGCGUAGCCGACCUGAGAGGAUGAUCGGCCACACUGGAACUGAGACACGGUCCAGACUCCUACGGGAGGCAGCAGUGGGGAAUAUUGCGCAAUGGGCGCAAGCCUGACGGAGCAACGCCGCGUGUGUGAUGAAGGUCUUCGGAUUGUAAAGCUCUUUUAUUAGGGAGGAACAAAUGUAUGUGUAUCUCUGCACGUCUUGACGUUACCUACACAAAAAGCCCCGGCUAACUACGUG
rnacentral:rRNA from 1 species